CUUCCGGUAAGACGAUUAGGGUUCCGGCGUGCUGGACUGCCAUCUCUGUCAAAAAGGGUUCCUCAAAGAUAGUGGUUGUGGGUGGAAGACGAUGACACAAGCCUUGAAUCAAAUCCAUGUUUACUCGACCUCCAUAUUUUGAGGGUAAAAGUGAAGAUGACUUCUUUGACAGGACUUAAAGCAAGUUGAAGUUUGCACCAGAUAAGAUGGUUGGCUGGAAAUCCUUCCCACAAACUGGAUAUAAUGGCUCAGUGUGGCUAACAGUAAGUCCUGCUGACCCUUCAGGCUCCACAUAAUCUUGAUGUCUUAUAAGUGAGUCGUUACCGUAUUAUGAAUGUAUCUGGGUGACUCUGGCAUGCUCUCUUUGGAUUUUGUGUUGCACAUGAGAUCUGUGUGCUUCUGGGUUUUAACAGAGAUUUAA